rnacentral:misc_RNA from 1 species
GAAAUGCGAUAAGUAAUGUGAAUUGCACAAUUCAGUGAAUCAUCGAAUCUUUGAACGCACAUUGCGCCCCCUGGUAUUCCGGGGGGCAUGCCUGUUCGAGCGUCAUUUCACCACUCAAGCCUCGCUUGGUAUUGGGCAACGCGGUCCGCCGCGUGCCUCAAAUCGACCGGCUGGGUCUUCUGUCCCCUAAGCGUUGUGGAAACUAUUCGCUAAAGGGUGUUCGGGAGGCUACGCCGUAAAACAACCCCAUUUCUAAGGUUGACCUCGGAUCAGGUAGGGAUACCCGCUGAACUUAAGC